UCAAAGGCAUUUGCUGGCUUUCACAGG
rnacentral:piRNA from 1 species